rnacentral:rRNA from 1 species
AUGGCAUCGUGUCUCUGUCGAUCCCUCAGAUCGACAACAUUAGGGUUCAUGGAUGGUGUUGACGAGGCGGCGGCGGCGACUCCAUCAGGUGUGUCUCUCCUUCUGCUCUGUCCCCGUUGCUGUGGCAUUGUCCCCGACGUCAUGGUGGAGCAGAGAGGUUUUGUGGUUCAGGAGUACGCGCAGGCGAUUGUCUACGCAGGUGACAGCUGGAAGAUGGAGUAUCUUGUGUUGGGUCUGUGGUCGAAGGCGGGCAGUUCUAGUUUCCUUCUCCGACGUCGUCGUCAUGCGAGGGUGUCAGUUCUGAAGUUUGAUGGUGUGUCCGGGGACAUGUUGCCCCGGUCUGAUUCUUUCAACGGUUAUGGUUUUGCUUUUGGCAAACUACUUUAA